CCAGGCUAAUUUCAAAAGUGGCUUCAGCAUGUAUUGUAAAUGAUAUGUCCAGAGACCCGCAGAAACUCUGCAAUGCGUGUGAACUGCCCCAAUAUGAGACAUUGGCUUUUCUCCAUUUUACACAAAGGAACAUUGCAUUCUCACUUUUUUUCACUUCAUCACCUAACUCCUUGUUACUCCAGCAACGGAGAAGUCAACUAUGCCAAACAUUUUUUUUAUGUAACCUUGAUGAAAAUAAUAAUGCGACGUAAUAUGGAAUGUGGAUUGAUGGGUACAUAAACAAAAUCUUAUAUAUCUUGCCGCACAAACCAGCGCCAUUAUGACAAUUUGCAACUUGUGCCAAAAUUUUUUGCGAGCUUUAUUUUUUUGCUAACGUUGCGAACUCGAAAUUAAUACCCUCAUUAUUAAGUAGCGCAAGCUACUUUAUGCGAUCGGUUAGGUAGUCUGUCUGUCUGUCCGUCCUUCCGUCUGUCAACACUAUAACUCGAGAACGCGUCAAGAUAAUCGAAAUCGGUUUGCGGCAUCAUACAUAUGAGCCCUGGGGGAGGAUCCCGUAAACUUUUGGACCACACCCCCUAGGCGCCAGGAGGUGCGGUCGCGGUGUGAUCGGGGCAAAAUGAGAUUUAUACCGCAAAUUAAUCUAUGGAUGAAAUCCAGUUAAAUUAAAUUGUUUUGGCUUAAUUUCGGCAUUUUUAGGGCGAUAUGCAAGAAAUUUGGGCAAAACAUGUUUUUCGGUGUUGUCGACAUGUCGCAAUAUGGCGAUUAUGGUCAACUAGAGAUAAUUAUUUUAUCAUUAAUUAAUUGAUGUUUGGGCACUAUUAAAAUAUGGCUCGGAGAAUUAUUCGUUUUAUUUUGUGAUGCAUUCUCAACAUUAUUAUGGCUGGCACAAAUGUGCUCAUGGCAUCUAGCCAUUCAAGGAUGAUCCACCACUCGCCUAGACCAACCAAAUAUCCAAGGGCAUCAGGAUUUGUGUAUUACAGGUAGAGACCUUCUCUUCCUCAGGCUUGAGUAAAUUUUGUACAAUUUUUUUUAGAGUGUACUGAAUUACCGUAAAAACUCACAUAGUAGCUGGGGGCUACUAUUUACAAAAUCGGUGGCCGGGACUCGGCUACUAUUUGAGCAAGGCUACUAUAGGACAACGGCUACCAUUUGAGCUUUUACGGAACUGGAAAACUGGAUUGGGGUGGAUUCAAUAAGGUCGCCAUGCACUUUUUCAUGAAACAGUCCAAAAAAUUGCAGGAUCAGUUCAUCCACAAACACGAAAUUGGAUCCAGCGACUUUGAGACUCCGCCAAAUAAGUUGAAUUAAACAAAUAUUUUAAACUUCUUUAAGAAGGCGGAAAAGAGUUGUCUUCAGUACUCCAAGGCCAAGUACUCAGCUCAACUUAUUUAGAACUAUAGCUUGCUUACAUUCUUAGAUUUUCGUUAAGAUUGAUACAAACAAAUAAAUAAAUUGAAUUUAAUCAGCAGCAUAUAACA